AGCGUAGACGGACUGGCAAGUCUGAUGUGAAAGGCGGGGGCUCAACCCCUGGACUGCAUUGGAAACUGUUAGUCUUGAGUGCCGGAGAGGUAAGCGGAAUUCCCAGUGUAGCGGUGAAAUGCGUAGAUAUUAGGAGGAACACCAGUGGCGAAGGCGGCUUACUGGACGGUAACUGACGUUGAGGCUCGAAAGCGUGGGGAGCAAACA
rnacentral:rRNA from 1 species